UACGGAGGGUGCAAGCGUUGUCCGGAAUCACUGGGCGUAAAGGGCGCGUAGGCGGCUCAUGAAGGCUGUGGUGAAAGUCCGGGGCUCAACCUCGGAUCGGCCGUGGCGACUCGUGGGCUGGAGCACUGUAGAGGCGGGUGGAAUUCCGGGUGUAGCGGUGGAAUGCGUAGAGAUCCGGAAGAACACCAGUGGCGAAGGCGGCCCGCUGCGCAGUGGCUGACGCUGAGACACGAAAGCCAGGGGAGCGAACGGG
rnacentral:rRNA from 1 species